AUUGAACGCUGGCGGCAGGCCUAACACAUGCAAGUCGAACGGUAACAGGAAGAAGCUUGCUUCUUUGCUGACGAGUGGCGGACGGGUGAGUAAUGUCUGGGAAACUGCCUGAUGGAGGGGGAUAACUACUGGAAACGGUAGCUAAUACCGCAUAACGUCGCAAGCCCAAGGAGGGGGACCUUCGGGCCUCUUGCCAUCGGAUGUGCCCAGAUGGGAUUAGCUAGUAGGUGGGGUAACGGCUCACCUAGGCGACGAUCCCUAGCUGGUCUGAGAGGAUGACCAGCCACACUGGAACUGAGACACGGUCCAGACUCCUACGGGAGGCAGCAGUGGGGAAUAUUGCACAAUGGGCGCAAGCCUGAUGCAGCCAUGCCGCGUGUAUGAAGAAGGCCUUCGGGUUGUAAAGUACUUUCAGCGGGGAGGAAGGGAGUAAAGUUAAUACCUUUGCUCAUUGACGUUACCCGCAGAAGAAGCACCGGCUAACUCCGUG
rnacentral:rRNA from 1 species